GAUGAACGCUGGCGGCGUGCCUAAUACAUGCAAGUCGAGCGAACGGACGAGAAGCUUGCUUCUCUGAUGUUAGCGGCGGACGGGUGAGUAACACGUGGAUAACCUACCUAUAAGACUGGGAUAACUUCGGGAAACCGGAGCUAAUACCGGAUGAUAUUUUGAACCGCAUGGUUCAAUAGUGAAAGACGGUUUUGCUGUCACUUAUAGAUGGAUCCGCGCUGCAUUAGCUAGUUGGUAAGGUAACGGCUUACCAAGGCAACGAUGCAUAGCCGACCUGAGAGGGUGAUCGGCCACACUGGAACUGAGACACGGUCCAGACUCCUACGGGAGGCAGCAGUAGGGAAUCUUCCGCAAUGGGCGAAAGCCUGACGGAGCAACGCCGCGUGAGUGAUGAAGGUCUUCGGAUCGUAAAACUCUGUUAUUAGGGAAGAACAUAUGUGUAAGUAACUGUGCACAUCUUGACGGUACCUAGUCAGAAAGCCACGGCUAACUACGUG
rnacentral:rRNA from 1 species